AGUGAACGCUGGCGGUAGGCCUAACACAUGCAAGUCGAACGGCAGCACAGGAGAGCUUGCUCUCUGGGUGGCGAGUGGCGGACGGGUGAGGAAUACAUCGGAAUCUACUCUGUCGUGGGGGAUAACGUAGGGAAACUUACGCUAAUACCGCAUACGACCUACGGGUGAAAGCAGGGGACCUUCGGGCCUUGCGCGAUUGAAUGAGCCGAUGUCGGAUUAGCUAGUUGGCGGGGUAAAGGCCCACCAAGGCGACGAUCCGUAGCUGGCCUGAGAGGAUGAGCAGCCACACUGGAACUGAGACACGGUCCAGACUCCUACGGGAGGCAGCAGUGGGGAAUAUUGGACAAUGGGCGCAAGCCUGAUCCAGCCAUACCGCGUGGGUGAAGAAGGCCUUCGGGUUGUAAAGCCCUUUUGUUGGGAAAGAAAUCCAGCUGGCUAAUACCCGGUUGGGAUGACGGUACCCAAAGAAUAAGCACCGGCUAACUUCGUGCCAGCCGCCGCAGUAA
rnacentral:rRNA from 1 species